CUCUUAUAAAGAGAGGCGGAGGGACUGGCCCUAUGAAGCCUCGGCAACCUACCAAAACACGGUAUGGUGCCAAAUCCAGCGGGAGAAAUCCCGGAAGAUAAGAG
rnacentral:ncRNA from 1 species